ensembl:lncRNA
GUCAAGUAGCUGGUGCUCAAUCUCCUGCUGUUUAUUUAAAGCAAGUGGCACAUACAGACUUUUUAAUUGGCAACACUUUAAAUCCACUUGCAAGGCCUGCUUUGUUCAUGGCACAGUGUCCCAAAACUUAUACCGACGUGCAGCCUGUGGUGAAGAAUGUAUUGAUCUCCCCUGUGUAAUACAGCCACAUGCAGCGGGAGAGCUGUCUCUUAGCGGAGUGAUCUAAUCUGGUGUGGUAAUAGCAUAAAAAAGUGGAAAAAAGUAGAGUAUAUGUGACGCAUGGAAACUAUGGCUGACGGGAUACAGAAUCGCACUCGGCUGAGCAAACAAGCCCCGUGGCAUUCAUACAGUGGGGCGUAAUUCAAAAGGGACUCCCAGUCGGGGAAUCGAACCCCGGUCUUCCGCGUGACAGGCGGUUAACAAGGAAAGCAUGGCGGCGAUUGAGAAGGCGCAUGACACUUUGGAAGGUUGAGAACACGCGCGAACAGCCCGUAAAUGAGCCUUGGAGUCGCCGUUAAGCCUUGUCUCAUGCUCCAUCGCUGGUACGGCUGGGAAACAAGGUUGGCACAUUGAAACGAUCGAAACAGAAACCAUCACAACAUAAAUGAACCAAGCGAAUGCUCUUAAGUCUUGGCUCAUAAGUCAUUACAUAAACCAUCACAACAUAAACCAUCACAACAUAAAUGAACCAAGCGAAUGCUCUUAAGUCUUGGCUCAUAAGUCAUUACAUAAACCAUCACAACAUAAACCAUCACAAC